GAAAACAACACGUAUAACAAUUUGUGAAAGGGUGACAUAGAGAGAUGUCUCUAACAAUUUUUGUUAAGAUGUCAACAAGGAACAAGAGUGAAACCAUUACUGUCCAGAAGUCAGAUGAAUUUUUGAAGAUAUUUGAAACCUUGGCUGGAAGAGUAGGAAUUGAGCUGCAACAUAUUCGGUUGACAUUUAGUGGUAAAGAAUACAGACAUGACCAACCGGAAGCUCGGAAAAGGAUAGAAGAUAUUGGAAUUAAGGACCGCUCUACUUUGUUUAUGGUCUCAAGAUUACCAGGGGGAUAUCUAUAGUCAUACUAACGACAUAGGACAAUACGAAGCAUAAUGACGUAAACUUUACAACCAAAGUAAAAGUGAUAUUCAUUUUUAUAUGUGAAACGAAAUGCAGUAUUUCUCCUCGUUAUUUGAAUAGAUAAUGUGACACUCACCAGAUAUUCAAACAUGUGUUGUAAAGCUUAAAAAAUGAAAUAAAUUCUAAAAUUGUU